rnacentral:miRNA from 1 species
UCACUGCCGGCCCGAUCCCGCC